GCCAUGUGACCGUAGUCCCAGCUACUCAGGAGGCUGAGGCGAGAGGAUCACUUGAGCCCAGGAGUUCUGGGCUGUAGUGCACUAUGCUUGUCAGGUGUCCACACUAAAUUGGCAUCAAUAUGGUGACCUCUCAGGGGCAGGGGACUAGCAGGUUGCCUAAGGAGGGGUGAACUAGCCCAGGUCAGAAACAGAGCAGGUCAAAACUCCCAUGCUGAUCAGUAGUGGGAUUGCGCCUGUAGAUAGCCACUGAACUUCAGCCUGGGCAACAUAGCAAGACCCCAUCUCU
rnacentral:SRP_RNA from 1 species